AAACAGUAGUACUGAAGUUGGUAACGUUAUCUGUGACCACCGAGAAACGGAAAAGAAUUAGAUGUCUCAAGUUUAAAAGUGAAAUGAAUAGCAGGAUCAAUAAAAUUACGUAUGUAUAAAGAAGGAAACUUUCAUCGAAAAGACUAGAGAGAUUUAAGGAGAGACACAGACAUACAUAAAGAGGUGGAGAGAGAUAGAGGGAUGAAGAGAAAAAGAAAGGAAGGCAGACAAACUCCGGUUUUCUGAACAUUUCAAAUGAAGUGUACUUCAUGAACUUGAAGAUACUGUGUGUAGAUGUACGUCAAGAUGUCAUAGCUGCCAACUCUCUCAAUUUUAUAUGAAGACUCCCAGUUUUACGCCUCCCCGUCUCCUGGUUGGUCAUCGAAUUUUCCAGUUUUUUAAUUUUUAGCGUUACUAAGGAAAUUAUCCCCAGCAAUUAAUAAAAUUCAUGAAUGAAGGAAACUUAAGUUGUGCAGAUACAUUUCUCCCA